rnacentral:lncRNA from 10 species
AGGGGAGGGAUUCGGGGAGGUCUCAUCAAUUUGGGCCUGAGGAAAAUUCAGGUGGAAGACAAUUAAAUAACUAACCACCUCCGCAAGGUGCAGAACUCAAACCCAAGUCUCCCUCCCACGCCCUGGGCUCCAGGGAAGCCCUUGGGUGUUGUUGUUGAAACAGGACGAGGCGUGACCCCGGGUCUGCGUUGUUUGGCGUGGGUUCUCACUAUGUUGCUUAAGCUGGUCCAGAACUCAAGCCAGUCUCUCACUUCAGCCUCUUGAGUCGUUGGGAUUACAGAAGCCACCAUGUCCAACUGCUGAUCUUGAACUCCUGGGCUCAAGCGAUCCUCCCACCUCGGCCUCCCAAUGUGUUGGGAUUACAGGCGUGAGUUGCGGCGCCCAGCUGAUAUGUAUACUUUUCUAUAGGUAUAUUACACUUCAAUAAAAAGUUUGAAACAGAA